UGCUGUGCAGGCAUUAUCACAUUCUUUUCUAUACCUGGUUCCAGUCUGUAGUUGAGCCGAGGACAUCGUGUCUAACAUUAUUAUAUCUUCGUACUGUGUUCUGAUGAUAAACGAUUAUUUUUUCAACAAAAAAUUAACCAAGGGACCGAGAAUUAACAAUACGGUAUCACGUUCAAAUGAUGCCUUUGUCGCAAGAGACUAUAAGCGACAGAUGAAGGAGAUCUGUCUCAAGAAAAAUACAAUCAUAUAUUUGCCGGCAAAACCCACAUUGCAAUGAUGGUUCUGAAGGAGAUGGGUCGAGAUCUAGCCAACUUCAGCAUUCCUGACAAUUUCUGCACAUGCAAUAGUUCCAGAAGAGAAUGGCAUCGAAAUUGGGAAAAUUCUGGAUUGACACUUCUAGCCUCAGUGAUCUCAUCCGCAUGUGGCACCUCUCCGAUCCCCGGAAGACGGGUGUUGGGCAGUGAGCCCAAGUCAUACGCUGAAACGACAGACAUAUUGCUACCAGCUAAAGAUAACAGUCGCUCGUACUACUGAUGCAGCUUCUACUGCUGCUCCAGCCACAGGACUGUUCAAUUCUCAGGAUGAGGACAUGCCACCAGUGUAUCCUAUCAGAGAAUUGACAUACGCAGAAAAUUGGAAGCGUAACGAAGAAACUAAGUUAGUGCUAUUGAAGUAGUUCAAAUAGUCUCAACAAGUAAUGAUGAAAGAAAAUUUGAUCCAAGUAAUAGAAACAUGAACAAUUAUCUAACUUCCAUACUAGUCGCCCUAACGAAAGGAUCACUCAGUGUGACACCAACGAAUGCGGUCUCAUUCGGAAAACACAAACCCCAUUAAUACAAAUCCAGUCAGUCGUGAUGCUCUGAACUAUUCCCACGCAAUGUUAUUCAUCGCAAUGAAAUAAAGCAGGAGUGGGACUCCUAUAUAUGGAACGAAGCUUUGUCACCACAUAUUUUGGUUCAACAACACGAGGUUCUAGAGCACAUUGUGCGAGAACAUGUAAAGCUGAGUGUGUUAUAGCUAUAUGUUGCCGUACACUUCCCGGAACUGAUGCUGAUGGCUAUGGAGGAGAAAUGUGUCAUUACUGUAAGGCGAAGCUUUGUUGACCAACGGACCGACCAUUGAAGAACAACCUAGUAUCGUGUAUUUUAUGUAUUUAGUGUUGCGUCGGUGUUCCACCGCUCGAAUCAGAACAAUAGAUUAUAAUUGAGCUGCUUUUUGGAUUGAGAAGAGUAGAAAUAUUCCAUUUCGGCAAUUAACAUCAUGUUGAUUUAUUUCAGUAUUUGGAGAAACAUCUGAAUAAUUAUACUUAUAAAUAAAUACAUCGAUCGCGAUUGACUGAUUAAACGAUGUUUAACAGAGUUAUAUUUCCUCCAAGGGAAACUGUAUUUAAUUAUUUAAUAUUUUAUAAAUAUUGUUUUAUUGUUUUUUUCAUUUUU